GAUGAACGCUGGCGGCGUGCCUAAUACAUGCAAGUCGAGCGAACGGACGAGAAGCUUGCUUCUCUGAUGUUAGCGGCGGACGGGUGAGUAACACGUGGAUAACCUACCUAUAAGACUGGGAUAACUUCGGGAAACCGGAGCUAAUACCGGAUAAUAUUUUGAACCGCAUGGUUCAAAAGUGAAAGACGGUCUUGCUGUCACUUAUAGAUGGAUCCGCGCUGCAUUAGCUAGUUGGUAAGGUAACGGCUUACCAAGGCAACGAUGCAUAGCCGACCUGAGAGGGUGAUCGGCCACACUGGAACUGAGACACGGUCCAGACUCCUACGGGAGGCAGCAGUAGGGAAUCUUCCGCCAUGGGCGACAGCCUGACGGAGCAACGCCGCGUGAGUGAUGAAGGUCUUCGGAUCGUAAAACUCUGUUAUUAGGGAAGAACAUAUGUGUAAGUAACUGUGCACAUCUUGACGGUACCUAAUCAGAAAGCCACGGCUAACUACGUG
rnacentral:rRNA from 1 species